rnacentral:rRNA from 1 species
AUUGAACGCUGGCGGCAGGCCUAACACAUGCAAGUCGAACGGUAGCACAGAGAGCUUGCUCUCGGGUGACGAGUGGCGGACGGGUGAGUAAUGUCUGGGAAACUGCCUGAUGGAGGGGGAUAACUACUGGAAACGGUAGCUAAUACCGCAUAACGUCUUCGGACCAAAGAGGGGGACCUUCGGGCCUCUUGCCAUCGGAUGUGCCCAGAUGGGAUUAGCUAGUAGGUGGGGUAACGGCUCACCUAGGCGACGAUCCCUAGCUGGUCUGAGAGGAUGACCAGCCACACUGGAACUGAGACACGGUCCAGACUCCUACGGGAGGCAGCAGUGGGGAAUAUUGCACAAUGGGCGCAAGCCUGAUGCAGCCAUGCCGCGUGUAUGAAGAAGGCCUUCGGGUUGUAAAGUACUUUCAGCGGGGAGGAAGGGAGUGAGGUUAAUAACCUCAUUCAUUGACGUUACCCGCAGAAGAAGCACCGGCUAACUCCGUGCCAGCCGCCGCAGUAA